rnacentral:rRNA from 1 species
UAUGACCAUAUCACAUUGAAACACCAUGUCCCAUAUGAUCAUCAAAGUUAAGCAACAUCAAGCCUGAGCAGUACCUAGAUGAGUGACUGCUUGUGAAUACUA